AAGUCUCCCCUUCGCAAAAACAUACUCAUCUCCGUCAAAACUCCACGAAAAACCUCUUCCGCCCAAAACCCUACUCCACGCCGUCCGCACCUAGCUUCCUCCGCCAUUCCUCCGCCAAACCCUAAACUCCCUCUCCAUGAACCUCUCCACAGAGCCUCGCCGAACCCCUCUCUGCUGAAUCAUCUUCAGACUAAACAUCUGUUAGGUCCGACUUGACUUCAUCAUUCUCAGAACUUGGAUUAUAGCAGCGGGGAUGGUAGCUUAGAGAGUUUUUCUCUGGAUUUGGGGCAAUUACUUCUUGCAAGAUUGUGCUUGAUAAAAAUGGUGUCAGCAAGCUGCAAGGGAUCUGGAUUUGUUGCUUUCUAGUCUCCGGAAGAUGCAUCACGGGCUAUAAGAACAUAUCAUAUAUCUUCCCCCUUUUGGGCGGUUCUUUUUAUUUAUUUCAUCUACCGGGCUGUACAUAUACAAUGCAAGGAAGAUAGGAGACCUAGAUUUGCAGGUUGAUGCUGGUGAUUCACCAUCCCGGGUGGCUAGAGGUUUUGGAACUUUACAAUAUGGUGGAGAACAAUUUGAAAUUAAAGUAGCGAAUGAGAAGAUGAAGGUGGAAAACUGAAAGUGGGGUUUUUGUUUUGCCAAGAAUGACACUGAUGUAGUGGAUAACUAUCAAUUUUGUUGAUUCAUGCAUGAAUACCGAUAUCGACUAUCGAAUCUGAUGAUUCAUGUACGAAUACCUUAA